rnacentral:tRNA from 1 species
GGGUGUACCUCAGUGGUAGAGCGCGUGCUUAGCAUGCAUGAGGUCCUGGGUUCAAUUCCCAGUACAUCCA